rnacentral:tRNA from 7 species
GGGGAAUUAGCUCAAGUGGUAGAGCGCGCGCUUCGCAUGCGUGAGGCACCGGGAUCGAUGCCCGGAUUCUCCA